UGUGCAACUGCUGAGAAGGGGGAGCUUGGAGCCGCGGGGGAAGCAAGUAAAAAUAGCCUGGCGCGCGUCGCUCUUGCCUGCUCUGGACGCCUUUAACCCUGGCCAAGCAAGACAGAGGGACAAUCCCCGCGCCACACCUCCAUCCCCGCCCCACGCUGCAUAUGGGUAACCAUAUGUGAAAUGUACGGCAGCCCCACCAGACACCAGGCUAUUAAUAGAGCCCGGGAGUUUGCUCUCUGUCUUUUUCCUGCCACCGAGUAAGGGAUGAUCUUCACACACAUACCCCACUCCGCCCCCACCUCGGCGCACCGUUUCUCCAAGAAGUUUCAAGUUCUUCUCGCGCACCCGACCCCCUCCCCGCCCCUCUCCACCCGCGCUGCGGGCUAAGCUGGAGGGAGGCAGCCCCGAAGGCUCCGCGGCAGCGGCGGCGUUUCCUCUCACGGCUGCUCGCAAAGUCCGGCCGGCCGGAGGCAGCCACCAACUCCUCUCAACUUCUGCAGAUCGGCUGGGCGAAGCAACACGCUUCCUGCGCGUCUCUCCUAGGGGCUGAGCCGGGAGAACCUCACAUGUGGCCUGGGCUCACAUAUGGCCAUGGCACGCUGCAGUGAAUCCAUGGCUCCUCAGGAAUCAGACCACAGACGUGAUCCAUCACCACCUCAUGGCAGCUCACCCAGCAGUGUUCUUAGUGUCUUCUGGGCCAGACGGGAGCCACGCCAAGGCUGCAGCAGCCGGCUAGCUACCUGGCUGAGCCUCCAUGCAGCCCCACACCUGGGCAGUUCUCCUACACAAAAGCCUCUGCAGUCCUAUUUCUCCCUAACACAAGGGCAAAUUAUUUCUUAAACUACAUCCCAAAGAACAACUUGCAAGAGUGUCACCAGCACAUACAAAGUUUGGGUUUCUUUCUUUUUUUUUUUUCCUUUUGCCAUUAAAACCAGAAUGUUAUUCUUUCUUGCUCUGAUAAUGUCUGAGUAAAUCAAUUCAGCAUUGUUUUGUGCUAGAUA